rnacentral:rRNA from 1 species
AUGAACGCUGGCGGCGUGCCUAAUCCAUGCAAGUCGAGCGAACAGACGAGGAGCUUGCUCCUCUGACGUUAGCGGCGGACGGGUGAGUAACACGUGGAUAACCUACCUAUAAGACUGGGAUAACUUCGGGAAACCGGAGCUAAUACCGGAUAAUAUAUUGAACCGCAUGGUUCAAUAGUGAAAGACGGUUUUGCUGUCACUUAUAGAUGGAUCCGCGCCGCAUUAGCUAGUUGGUAAGGUAACGGCUUACCAAGGCGACGAUGCGUAGCCGACCUGAGAGGGUGAUCGGCCACACUGGAACUGAGACACGGUCCAGACUCCUACGGGAGGCAGCAGUAGGGAAUCUACCGCAAUGGGCGAAAGCCUGACGGAGCAACGCCGCGUGAGUGAUGAAGGUCUUCGGAUCGUAAAACUCUGUUAUUAGGGAAGAACAAAUGUGUAAGUAACUAUGCACGUCUUGACGGUACCUAAUCAGAAAGCCACGGCUAACUACGUG